AAAGCAUUUACUGCGGUUACAUAGAUGUUCCCAUGUGUGAAACGUUCACCACUCUUUUGGAUUUCAUAAACUUUAUGAACGGACGACCUGUGAGGAAGAUCUUUUGUGACCUGCAGGACUCCACUCUCACUGUUUGUACUGAGUGAGUGAUCCAUCUCCUCCUCUUCAAGCCAAUGCAACUUACUGUUUAAACCUCUCAGAGCACUAAACACUAAAACCACAGCUAACACUUGCUCUCCUCCAAUCUAAGCUGUUUAUAUUCAUCAGCACCCAAAGAGGACGAGAGGGAUGGAGAUGAGAGUGAAGUGGCUGUAUUGGAUUUUGCGGAGUGGAGCCUCAAUAACAGGAAUGGAUUUAUGGAUGUAAUUCGAUUGGUGGGAAUAAAGGCCAUCAGCCCACUGAACCACAGACACUCUGAUGAUGAGCUUGAAUCAGCCUGUAAGCAAUCAUACACA